GUCAGCACGGCGCUCGGGAGUCCGGCUAAAGGCGGGCGAGCGGCGUUUGGGAAACCGACCCGGGAUUUCCAGGGCCCUGAGGUCGGCGGAGCAGCACCCACGGGGGCACCGCGGCAGGGACGGAGCCACGGCCCCAACGGAGAGAGCUCCGCUGUCUGUGAUGAGCCAUCAUCUGGUGAUCGCUGUGUAAUAUGAAAUUAGUGAAAUCAGUAUUUUCCACGGACUGUGAAAGAAUCGGUGUAAAACCAUAAGGGGUAAAGUCCCUUCGGUGCGGGGAAGGAGCAGAAAAAGCAGCGGCACCGCUCAGCAAACCCUUUGGUUUGGCUUCAGCGAACACAACGGCUUCACAGGCACCCUGACAGGAAAACGUAAAUCGAACAGUGAUGCAAUUCUCCCCACUGCUACAGAUGAAGUGCUGCACUUAGAAAUGAAGCACGGGGAGAAAGCAGAAGUGCUGAAAGUGCUCAGAUCCCAAAAGCGGGAACGCUGCGCUCAGCAGAGCCACUGGGACUGGCCUGGGGCUGUGUCUGCUCUGGGCAGCGAUGUUUAAGGACUGCUGCGGCUGAGGUGCUCUCCCUGCUACUCCAAAUCCUUAACUAAGCUCCCUGGAGCUCCUGACCACACCAGCAUACUGUCAUCAGCAUGGCUGGUUUUAGGCUAACGUCCUCAUCCCCUGACAGAGGAGGCCCUGCCAGGACUAUGCAAACUGCAGCACUUGCACAAACCUGAAAAGCCAAAUUUUCACAUGGCACUGACAUGAAGGAGGAGCGUGUCUGGCUAUGGAAGCAGCCAUCGUGCUGCCACACUGUUUGCAGGCAUUUUUAUUGUGGAGGGGCUUAGGGCAGCACCUCACACUCCAACUCCCAACAGGAGGUCUGGGGCUGAGUGCUGGAAGGGGAACACGCUCAGAAAGGCCACGGUCCGGUCUUCAUCCGGACCACUUUAGCAUUUCGGAACGCAGCCUUCUGGAGAAAACGCUCCCUUCCUUCUUUCUUAGUUCCCUUCUAUCAGACAGAACCGGGACGCCGCCUCCAGCAGCGCGUUCCGUUCAGUCCCGAGUUCCCUCAUCCCGUCGGCAGUACCGCGCUUAGCCCUCACGGGGGAGCCCGUCCGACACCGCUCUGCCACCGCAACCCUCUCGCCGCGCCCGGGGCCGCUUGGCGCGCAGGGAAGUGACAGCGGCCGUGGGGCCGUCAGGAGGCGCCGCGAAGCCGCGGUUCGAGCACAGGAGGCAGCGCGGGCAGCCCGAGGAAGGAGGUCCUUCAGUCCUCCUGGGCGUGUUGCACGGCGGGUUUCCUCAGAAAACGCUUUUGGAAAGUGUUACGGGCCGAUAUUCGAUGUGAAAGAGGGUAAAACGAGAACCCUCUUGGUGCAGUCCUAAAAUAAAACUGCCACGCUAUGAGACUUGCUUGAGCAUGGGCUGUGUUCCUGAGGGUGGGCUCAGUCCCUCCUGCAAUCAGAAUCGUAGAGUCGUUAAGGCUAAAGAAGACUUCUAAGAUCAUCAAGUCCAACUGCCAGCACACCCCAACCAUGCUCAUUGACCACGUCCCUCAUCGCCACAUCCACGCGGCUCCUGAACGCCUCCAGGGACAGAGACUGCACCACCUCCCUGGGCAGCUGUGCCGCUGCCUCACUGCUCCUGAGAAGAAUCUUCCUAAUAUACAACCUGAAAUGUCACAUCUCACAAGAAUGACUGGUAGCAGGAUUCUUUUUACUGGAUCUGCUGCCAUCUAAAAGUGCAGACAAAAGUAAAGAUAAAUGUAUGAUGUUACAGAAACUUGAGAAAGAUUAGAAAUACCUGCACAAAGCAGGUGUUUAGCUUACAGCGUGACAUACAGAAAGCCAGCACCGCACAGCUCUCAAGACCAGGUCUUUUACACAUGUUUGUUGAAGGCACUGUUCACAUCUUGGUGUUCCAGGGAUGAUGAUGGAAAUCCCAGACAAUCCUUCAGAGCUGUAUUCUUCUCACAACUGUGUGUAAAAACACGGUCCCUCUGUUGCUUUCAUUCAUUAACUUGAAUGAAGAACUGCAUGAAGGCUCUCCAAUUUUAAGAAGGGAGGGAGCUGUACAACAGAGACCAAAGACCCUGCUUUUGACAGCAAAAAGUUAAUUGUUCUACAAACUUCCAUAUUUACAGAUUUCUUCAGAGUAACUGUUGAGCAAAUCCUUCCACGCAGAUAUCACUGGAGUCUGAAAAAGGGCCAGCAGAACUAACAGAGAAUUUGAAUGGAAGCCAACUGACAUUUUUUUAAAUUUCUAUCAUUAAAGGGCAGUAUUUCUCCCUUUUUUACGAUGUUUAUCUGAACUCUCUUUCUUAAUGUAGCAGUUUGUGAAAAGGAUACUUUUGUUUCCAGCACAGGCAUAGUCCAUUUUCCCUUCUGUUUCUCUCCUACAAUUCUUGAACAAUGGCAUCAAAAUUUUACUAGAAAAACAAUUCAAAUGGUUUACAUUCCAUUUCUGUACAAGCCCUUCACACCAAUAAGGUUUUUGCCACGUAGGAGGCUGAGUUAAUGCCUAUAUACUCUUUCUACUUGCAAGUGAAGUUAUUUGUUUCAAAGAAAAAAAAAAAAAA